rnacentral:lncRNA from 1 species
GGGGGAGAGGGGAGAGGGGAAAGAGGAGGAGAGGAGGAGAGAGGAGAGGAGGAGAGGAGGAGAGAGGAGGAGAGGAGGAGAAGAGAGAGGAGAGGAGGAGAAGAGGAGAGGGGAGAGAGAGAGAGAGCAUUCCUUUGGCAUUCUUUCUGCUAUUGAAAUUUUGUUGAAAUGGAGAGAAUCUGUAUUCCAAAGUAUUGUCAUAUAUUUUUUUGUGACUCUAGUUGUCUCUCCAAAUUUGUUUUGUCUUGUCUACACCCUUAUCUGAAACAUUAACCAGUUCAUCUUCAUAGGAUCCAUUUGAAGCCAAAUCAUGUCAUGGUGCACACUACCCCAGGGCAUAUGAGAGCUUAAAAGGUAAAGUCCACCAACUGUGUUUUGAGUGGAGCCAAAGUGAAAUAUGAAGUGAUUAAUAGUUGAAGCCACAACAGGACCUGUUUCCAAGCAUGUUCAUGGAUAAGAACCUGUUGUAAGAAAACAAGUUAAGACCCUCUGGUCUGAAAGCAGCGUUUUCCUUUGGGUGGUUUCUGGUCUCCUGCUACCUUCUACCACCUAAGAAAACUUAGGGAAUUAAGUCAUCAGAUUCACACGCCUCCUUAUGCCCACAUGCUAGUAUACGCUGCCUUUCUUAUUUUCAACAGUAUCUCACAAGAUCCAAGCUGUUUUCUUUCUGAUACUCCAUAGGGAUGUUGCUGUUAAUGCAGCUAUGUGUCUCCAGACAAGACUAGUGCCUUUACUUCCUGAAUGGCCUUUUGCUGGGGCCCCAAAGGACUCCUAGGAACACACUCAACAAGGGACAAAGUCUGAGAACAGUUUCAUCUGCAUGGUGAACAGUGCAGGAGAUGCCUGCCAAGCCCUAACACAGUAGACUGAAGAUGGCCACACAGGUUAUGCUUCCUUGCUCAUGCCAUGGGGAAGGCAUGAUUGGCUAACACUCGGUAAUCUAACCAAACCCCUGUUUUCAGGUCUCAUUGAUGGAAGAGUGUCCUGCUGAUUGGUAGGGAAGUGGCACGGGAGACAGAGGUGGCAUCAGCAGCCAGGUGGACUGGGAGCAAGAAGAGAAGGAAAACAUUUUCUCAUCUCAGGAACACCCAGCACCUUACCAUGACCCUCUGUUGUGCAAGAAGAUUAUAAGAGGCAACUUGGGGAACUUCCUCACUGGGGCAAAGUUCCUCCCUCUCCAGCAGAAGUCAAGUGAUCAGGGCAUUGUGUGUCCGAGUGAAUAUCAACCAUCGAGGAUAUCCACAGAGAUCUGGGUGUAAGAUCUGCUUAGGCAGUAGUGUCACCAAGAGUAUCAUAUGCUGGAACCUGGACACAAAUUGUGUGGUUUAAACAACUCAGAAUACACAGACUAUUUUGUAUGUACAGUAAACUUUCUGUGUUUGAACUGUG